AUCGGGAAUGGACUAAGGGCCUACCAAUCCUUUCUUAAUCUAAGGCAUCUAUAUCUGGCAGAAAAGAAGAUGGAAAGAGAGCUGAUUGAUAGCGCGGGUAGCUUGCUUCCAAGCCACUGGCCGGAACUAGAUAAGGAACAAGAGAGAGAAGCAGCUCAAUUUCAAAGGUUAGGCGCAAUAGCCACUCGUGCAGAAGAAGAUGUUUGGGAGAAAAGCACCGUCUCAUGGUGCUUUUGUUAGGAGUUCCCCCUCUCCGGUAUAUUUUACUGUGGCAACCCUGAUGGAAAAGAUUGUCGGC
rnacentral:lncRNA from 1 species